rnacentral:rRNA from 1 species
UACGAAGGGGGCUAGCGUUGCUCGGAAUCACUGGGCGUAAAGCGCACGUAGGCGGCUUACUAAGUCAGGGGUGAAAUCCUGGAGCUCAACUCCAGAACUGCCUUUGAUACUGGUGAGCUUGAGUCCGGAAGAGGUGAGUGGAACUGCGAGUGUAGAGGUGAAAUUCGUAGAUAUUCGCAAGAACACCAGUGGCGAAGGCGGCUCACUGGCCGGUACUGACGCUGAGGUGCGAAAGCGUGGGGAGCAAACAGGG